GAUGAACGCUGGCGGCGUGCCUAAUACAUGCAAGUCGAGCGAACGGACGAGAAGCUUGCUUUUCUGAUGUUAACGGCGGACGGGUGAGUAACACGUGGAUAACCUACCUAUAAGACUGGGAUAACUUCGGGAAACCGGAGCUAAUACCGGAUAAUAUUUUGAACCGCAUGGUUCAAAAGUGAAAGACGGUCUUGCUGUCACUUAUAUAUGGAUCCGCGCUGCAUUAGCUAGUUGGUAAGGUAACGGCUUACCAAGGCAACGAUGCAUAGCCGACCUGAGAGGGUGAUCGGCCACACUGGAACUGAGACACGGUCCAGACUCCUACGGGAGGCAGCAGUAGGGAAUCUUCCGCAAUGGGCGAAAGCCUGACGGAGCAACGCCGCGUGAGUGAUGAAGGUCUUCGGAUCGUAAAACUCUGUUAUUAGGGAAGAACAUAUGUGUAAGUAACUGUGCACAUCUUGACGGUACCUAAUCAGAAAGCCACGGCUAACUACGUG
rnacentral:rRNA from 1 species